GGUAUAUUACAAUAGGUCGACACUAUUUCAAAAAUAAUGCAAAAUAAACAUCAAUUUGGAAAUAAAAGUAAAACUCAACACCACAUACAUUUGUGUUUAUAUGCAUAAAAAUUUUGGUCAACAAAAUUUUCAUUUGCCUAAAACUCAAACUCAGACCUCAAGUUACACUGUUACUUUAUGCAUGAGCAGACUUUGCACAACCAGCUUAUGUAGAAAAUAAAUACAUCUUCUCCGCCAAUAGGCUCGCGACAUCCAUGCUAUGUUCAACCUAAAACCUAUUCCGGCUUCUAAAAAACCAAGAGAGUUACAUUGAUCCGAAAUUGUACAAAUUUGCAUCAACGUUCCAAUGGUUUUUGAUCGUUAAAUGAAAUCUGCUCUAAACGUAUCGACUUAGGCCCCAUCUGAAGGUAGAGAGUUACAUUGAUCCGAAAUUGUACAAAUUUGCAUCAACGUUCCAAUGGUUUUUGAUCGUUAAAUGAAAUCUGCUCUAAACGUAUCGACUAAGGCCCCAUCUGAAGGUUGCUGCAAAGCUGUAACAAAAAUCAGCUCCAUUUUCACCAAACCUUCAAACUGUGGGAAAACUUGAACGAUGCAGCCACACUAUAGUAACGUUGCUGUUCAGUAUAUAAAACACUGAAAAUUCCAGGAAGCGUAGCAACAAAAUUGAUUUCUCACCAAAAAAGUUUUGCCUGAGUACUGGCACCUAAAGCAACAUCUCUCCAUCAGGGCCAGUGAUCAUAUUCUCCAAGUCUU
rnacentral:lncRNA from 1 species